rnacentral:lncRNA from 10 species
CUACUUAUAUGAGAUACUUACAAUAGGGAAAUGCAUAGAGCUAGAAAGUAGAAGUUGCCAGGGGAAGGGGGAAUGAGGAGUUACUGUGUAAUGGUUACGGCGUUUGGAAUGAUGAAGAGUUCUGGAAAUGGAUAGUAGUGAUGGUCGCACAACACUGUGAAUGUACUUAAUGCCACUGAGUUGUACACUUAAGAAAUGGUUGAAAUGGUAAAUCCUUUUCCCCCCCUCUUUAAAUAGACACUUUAUUAGAUC